GCAAGCGUUCUACCGAGGUUGCCCCUUGCUGAUUCUAUCUGAUCUCAGAAGCUAAGCAUGGUUAGAACUGGUUAAUACUUGAAGGGAAAANGACCUGGGAAUAGCAGCCACUGCAGGCU
rnacentral:rRNA from 1 species